ACGAACGCUGGCGGCAUGCCUAACACCUGCAAGUCGAACGAAGGCUUCGGCCUUAGUGGCGCACGGGUGCGUAACGCGUGGGAAUCUGCCCUUUGGUUCGGAAUAACAGCUGGAAACGGCUGCUAAUACCGGAUGAUGACGAAAGUCCAAAGAUUUAUCGCCAGAGGAUGAGCCCGCGUUGGAUUAGGUAGUUGGUGGGGUAAAGGCCUACCAAGCCGACGAUCCAUAGCUGGUCUGAGAGGAUGAUCAGCCACACUGGGACUGAGACACGGCCCAGACUCCUACGGGAAGCAGCAGUGGGGAAUAUUGGACAAUGGGCGCAAGCCUGAUCCAGCAAUGCCGCGUGAGUGAUGAAGGCCCUAGGGUUGUAAAGCUCUUUUACCCGGGAAGAUAAUGACUGUACCGGGAGAAUAAGCCCCGGCUAACUCCGUG
rnacentral:rRNA from 1 species